rnacentral:misc_RNA from 1 species
CUCCAUUGUAAAGCCGCAAUGUGAAGCAAUAGCUAUACAAAAUGUCAACCAAGUGAACAGCUAACAAUGGCGAUGGUUCUGUAGAAAGAAGAAGCUUCUUAAUUGGGGUUAGCGGACCUUCAGGGCCAGGGGGAAUCUCUCUAGAAUGGCCACCCACAUCGUCAUCCUGAUUUGAUGAUGAUGCUUCCUGCUCAACAAUAGGUUGUACAAGUUGAGUUCCAUCCUUACUGAGAGAGGUUGAUCUGGCAGAAGGCUUCAACCACCAUGGAUCCCAAGGCUCAAU